rnacentral:tRNA from 1 species
AAAAAAUUAGUUAAAAUAUAACAUUAAAAUGUCAAAUUAAAAUAAUUAAAUAAUUUAAUAUUUUUUA